AUGGGCGAAAGCCUGACGGAGCAACGCCGCGUGAGUGAUGAAGGUCUUCGGAUCGUAAAACUCUGUUAUUAGGGAAGAACAUAUGUGUAAGUAACUGUGCACAUCUUGACGGUACCUAAUCAGAAAGCCACGGCUAACUACGUGCCAGCAGCCGCGGUAAUACGUAGGUGGCAAGCGUUAUCCGGAAUUAUUGGGCGUAAAGCGCGCGUAGGCGGUUUUUUAAGUCUGAUGUGAAAGCCCACGGCUCAACCGUGGAGGGUCAUUGGAAACUGGAAAACUUGAGUGCAGAAGAGGAAAGUGGAAUUCCAUGUGUAGCGGUGAAAUGCGCAGAGAUAUGGAGGAACACCAGUGGCGAAGGCGACUUUCUGGUCUGUAACUGACGCUGAUGUGCGAAAGCGUGGGGAUCAAACAGGAUUAGAUACCCC
rnacentral:rRNA from 1 species